UACGGAGGGUGCAAGCGUUACUCGGAAUCACUGGGCGUAAAGCGCGCGCAGGCGGCCUGAUAAGUUGGAUGUGAAAGCCUACGGCUCAACCGUAGAACUGCAUCCAAAACUGUCAGGCUAGAGUGUGGGAGAGGAAGAUGGAAUUAGUUGUGUAGGGGUAAAAUCCGUAGAGAUAACUAGGAAUACCAAAAGCGAAGGCAAUCUUCUGGAACACUACUGACGCUGAGGCGCGAAGGCGUGGGGAGCAAACAGGAUUAGAUACCCUGGUAGUCCACGCAGUAAACGAUGAAUGUUAGUCGUCGGGGGCCUAGUGUCUUCGGUGAUGCAGCUAACGCAUUAAACAUUCCGCCUGGGGAGUACGGUCGCAAGAUUAAAACUCAAAGGAAUAGACGGGGACCCGCACAAGUGGUGGAGCAUGUGGUUUAAUUCGAAGAUACGCGAAGAACCUUACCUAGCCUUGACAUAUAUGAGAACACCCUAGAGAUAGAGUGGUGCCUUCGGGAGCUCAUAUACAGGUGCUGCACGGCUGUCGUCAGCUCGUGUCGUGAGAUGUUGGGUUAAGUCCCGCAACGAGCGCAACCCUCGUCACUAGUUACUAACGGUUCGGCCGAGGACUCUAGUGAGACUGCCUUCGCAAGGAGGAGGAAGGUGAGGACGACGUCAAGUCAUCAUGGCCCUUACGGCUAGGGCAACACACGUGCUACAAUGGCCAGGACAGUGAGACGCGAUACCGCGAGGUGGAGCAAAUCUAUAAACCUGGUCUCAGUUCGGAUUGUAGUCUGCAACUCGACUACAUGAAGCUGGAAUCACUAGUAAUCGUAGAUCAGCUAUGCUACGGUGAAUACGUUCCCGGGUC
rnacentral:rRNA from 1 species